rnacentral:rRNA from 1 species
CCUACGGGAGGCAGCAGUGAGGAAUAUUGGUCAAUGGACGAGAGUCUGAACCAGCCAAGUAGCGUGAAGGAUGACUGCCCUAUGGGUUGUAAACUUCUUUUAUAUGGGAAUAAAACGUUCCACGUGUGUGAUUUUGUAUGUACCAUAUGAAUAAGGAUCGGCUAACUCCGUGCCAGCAGCCGCGGUAAUACGGAGGAUCCGAGCGUUAUCCGGAUUUAUUGGGUGUAAAGGGAGCGUAGGUGGAUUGUUAAGUCAGUUGUGAAAGUUUGCGGCUCAACCGUAAAAGUGCAGUUGAAACUGGCAGUCUUGAGUACAGUAGAGGUGGGCGGAAUUCGUGGUGUAGCGGUGAAAUGCUUAGAUAUCACGAAGAACUCCGAUUGCGAAGGCAGUUCACUGGACUGCAACUGACACUGAGGCUCGAAAGUGUGGGUAUCAAACAGGAUUAGAUACCCUAGUAGUC